UACGUAGGGUCCGAGCGUUGUCCGGAAUUAUUGGGCGUAAAGGGCUCGUAGGCGGUUAGUCGCGUCGGGAGUGAAAACUCAGGGCUCAACCCUGAGCGUGCUUCCGAUACGGGCUGACUAGAGGUAUGCAGGGGAGAACGGAAUUCCUGGUGUAGCGGUGAAAUGCGCAGAUAUCAGGAAGAACACCGGUGGCGAAGGCGGCUCUCUGGGCCUUACCUGACGCUGAGGAGCGAAAGCGUGGGUAGCAAACAGG
rnacentral:rRNA from 1 species